GCCAACUAACACCAUACCACGAUGAACAUGCCUGAUCUCAUCUGAUUUCGGAAGCUAAUCAGGGUUGGCCUGGUUAGCACGUCUAUGAGAAACCACUUGGGAAUGAUUGGAAUGCUGUAGGCU
ensembl:rRNA 5S_rRNA 5S ribosomal RNA